rnacentral:rRNA from 1 species
GCGGGAAUUCGAUUAGAGUUUGAUCCUGGCUCAGAACGAACGCUUUCGGUAUGCUUAACACAUGCAAGUCGAACGGAUUUAUUUAGAGCUUGCUUUAAAUAAAUUAGUGGCAGACGGGUGAGUAACGCGUAGGAAUCUGCCUUCUAGUGGGGGAUAACUUGGGGAAACUCAAGCUAAUACCGCAUAAGCCCUAAGGGGGAAAGCAAGGGACAGUGAUGCCUUGUGCCAGAAGAUGAGCCUGCGUCGGAUUAGCUAGUUGGUAGGGUAAAAGCCUACCAAGGCGAUGAUCCGUAGCUGGUCUGAGAGGAUGACCAGCCACACUGGGACUGAGACACGGCCCAUACUCCUACGGGAGGCAGCAGUGGGGAAUAUUGGACAAUGGGCGAAAGCCUGAUCCAGCAAUGCCGCGUGUGUGAAGAAGGCCUGCGGGUUGUAAAGCACUUUCGGUAGGGAAGAAGGCCUUAGUGUUAAUAGCAUUAAGGAUUGACAUUACCUACAGAAGAAGCACCGGCUAACUCUGUGCCAGCAGCCGCGGUAAUACGAAUCACUAGUGAAUUCGCGGCCGCCUGCAGGUCGACCAUAUGGGAGAGCCCCCAA